GGGGUUGUGGCUCAGUGGUAGAGUGCUUGCCUAGCACAUGUGAGGCACUGGGUUCAAUUCUCAGCACCCCA
rnacentral:tRNA from 1 species